rnacentral:rRNA from 1 species
GAUGAACGCUGGCGGCGUGCUUAACACAUGCAAGUCGAACGAUGAAGCCCAGCUUGCUGGGUGGAUUAGUGGCGAACGGGUGAGUAACACGUGAGUAACCUGCCCUUAACUCGGGGAUAAGCCUGGGAAACUGGGUCUAAUACCGGAUAGGAGCGUCCACCGCAUGGUGGGUGUUGGAAAGAUUUAUCGGUUUUGGAUGGACUCGCGGCCUAUCAGCUUGUUGGCGGGGUAAUGGCUCACCAAGGCGACGACGGGUAGCCGGCCUGAGAGGGUGACCGGCCACACUGGGACUGAGACACGGCCCAGACUCCUACGGGAGGCAGCAGUGGGGAAUAUUGCACAAUGGGCGCAAGCCUGAUGCAGCGACGCCGCGUGAGGGAUGACGGCCUUCGGGUUGUAAACCUCUUUCAGUAGGGAAGAAGCGAAAGUGACGGUACCUGCAGAAGAAGCACCGGCUAACUACGUG